CCUACGGGAGGCAGCAGUAGGGAAUCUUUCACAAUGGGCGAAAGCCUGAUGGAGCAACGCCGCGUGCAGGAUGAAGGCCUUCGGGUUGUAAACUGCUUUUAUAAGCGAGAAAUAUGAUGGUAACUUAUGAAUCAGGAUCGGCUCACUACGUGCCAGCAGCCGCGGUCAUACGUAGGAUCCGAGCAUUAUCCGGAGUGACUGGGUGUAAAGAGUUGCGUAGGUGGCAUAAUAAGUAGCUAGUGAAAUCUGGUGGCUCAACCAUUAAGACUAUUAGCUAAACUGUUAAGCUCGAGACCGUUAGGGGUAACUGGAAUUUCUAGUGUAGGAGUGAAAUCCGUAGAUAUUAGAAGGAACACCAAUCGCGUAGGCAGGUUGCUGGGACGGUUCUGACACUAAGGCACGAAAGCGUAGGGAGCAAACGGGAUUAGAUACCCCUGUAGUC
rnacentral:rRNA from 1 species